rnacentral:rRNA from 1 species
UACGUAGGGUGCAAGCGUUGUCCGGAAUUAUUGGGCGUAAAGAGCUCGUAGGCGGUUUGUUGCGUCGGCUGUGAAAGCCCGGGGCUUAACCCCGGGUCUGCAGUCGAUACGGGCAGGCUAGAGUUCGGUAGGGGAGAGUCGGAAUUCCUGGUGUAGCGGUGAAAUGCGCAGAGUAUCAGGAGGAACACCGAUGGCGAAGGCAGGUCUCUGGGCCACUACUGACGCUGAGAAGCGAAAGCGUGGGGAGCGAUCCGG